rnacentral:rRNA from 1 species
UGUUGGAAACGGCAACUAAUACCGUAUACGCCCUACGGGGGAAAAAUUUAUUGCUAUUAGAUGAGCCUAUAUUAGAUUAGCUAGUUGGUGGAGUAAUAGCCUACCAAGGCAAUGAUCUAUAGCUGAUCUGAGAGGAUGAUCAGCCACACUGGAACUGAGAUACGGUCCAGACUCCUACGGGAGGCAGCAGUGGGGAAUAUUGGACAAUGGGCGAAAGCCUGAUCCAGCCAUGCCGCAUGAGUGAAGAAGGCCUUUGGGUUGUAAAGCUCUUUUAGUGAGGAAGAUAAUGACGGUACUCACAGAAGAAGUCCUGGCUAACUCCGUGCCAGCAGCCGCGGUAAUACGGAGAGGGCUAGCGUUAUUCGGAAUUAUUGGGCGUAAAGGGCGCGUAGGCUGGUUAAUAAGUUAAAAGUGAAAUCCCGAGGCUUAACCUUGGAAUUGCUUUUAAAACUAUUAAUCUAGAGAUUGAAAGAGGAUAGAGGAAUUCCUGAUGUAGAGGUAAAAUUCGUAAAUAUUAGGAGGAACACCAGUGGCGAAGGCGUCUAUCUGGUUCAAAUCUGACGCUGAAGCGCGAAGGCGUGGGGAGCAAACAGGAUUAGAUACCCUGGUAGUCCACGCUGUAAACGAUGAAUGUUAAAU